GUCCGCUAGAUAGCACAGUUGAUUAGAGCAUGAUGCUGAUAACGCCAAAGUUGCAGGUUCGAUCCCUGUAAGGGACA